GAUGAAGAACGUAGUGAAAUGCGAUAAGUAGUGUGAAUUGCAGAAUUCAGUGAAUCAUCGAAUCUUUGAACGCAUAUUGCGCCCCUUGGUAUCCCGAGGGGCAUGCCUGUUCGAGCGUCAUUUCACCACUCAAGCCUGGCUUGGUGUUGGGCGACGUCCCCUUUGGGGACGCGCCUCGAAACGCUCGGCGGCGUGGCACCGGCUUUAAGCGUAGCAGAAUCUUUCGCUUUGGAAGUCGGGGCCCCGUCUGCCGGAAGACCUACUCGCAAGGUUGACCUCGGAUCAGGCAGGGAUACCCGCUGAACUUAAGCAUAUCAAUAAGCGGAGGA
rnacentral:misc_RNA from 1 species